AUGAUGUCUGGGUUAAAAGUUAACUUCCAGAAAAGUGAGAUCCUUACUGUGGGUGGGGACGAAAAUGUUGUUAAGAAAUAUGCGGAGCUGUUCAAUUGUGAGAUUGGCAGUUUCCCUAUUAAAUAUCUAGGUAUGCCCGUGAGUUACACGAACCUUAAAACAUCUGAUUGGGAAUUCAUUGUGUGCAAGUAUUUGAAGAGGUUCGAGGCCUGGGUGGGCAAUGCUGCCUCGAUGGGAGGGAGGCAUACCCUGCUUGAUUCUGUAGUCACACAGAUCUCUUUGUACCACAUGUUGAUGUGUCUUAUGAAUAAAACCUUUAUAGAGAGGUUAGAUAAGCACAGGAGAAGAUUUUUCUGGCAAGGUUGCAACAAGAAAAAAAGAUACCACCUUGUGAAAUGGAGCAGAAUCUGUAGAUCCAAAGAAAAAAGCGGUUUGGGCAUCAAAGACCUUCGAAAGCAAAACAUCAGCUUAAUGGUUAAGUGGUGGUGGAAGCUCGAAACGCAAAAAGGACUUUGGCAAGACAUUGUUCAUGCAAGACAUCUCUGCAACAAAUCUGUUGCGGAUGUUACUGCCAGGUUCUCUGACUCACCAUGUUGGAAAGCUCUGCUUAAAAUUAAAGAGGUGUAUAUGAUGGGCAGAAAGAUUGAAACUAAAAUGGGAAACAUCACGAGGACGUGGAAAGACUCGAUUAAUGGGUUACCUCCUUUUAAGGAACAAUACCCUCAGCUGUUUGACAUCUGUAAUUUCCCUGACUGCACUUUGAACAAAGUGAUUGAUGCUGACACCAAUUCUUUCUUUAGGCGCAGACUUACCCCUGAACUGCUU
rnacentral:rRNA from 1 species